GCGUAACACCAAGGCAAUCUUUCAGAGCAUCCCCAUUCUCCAUUACACCUCUUUUAUGCAAGACUGCAACUCUUCUUUAUAAAUCCAUCUAUUUUCUCUCACAAUUUGUAGUGUAAAAAUGGAAAAUUUUGAGCUAAUUGAGGGUGGAAAUUCCCUUAAUCGUCCCAAAGAGGGUCUUUCUAGCUUCCAUGCUGGCAGAGAUGAUUACAAGAAAGUGGGGGCUGAUGAGAAGAAAGCAGCAGUUCAUGAGGAAAUGACGAGAUUGAGCAGACUCCCUCAGAAGAGCGUAUAUGUAUCUCAUCGAACGCGGGUUUUGAAUAAAAUCCUCCAACUUUUGUCUAUUCAGAGAACCACAUCACAGGACGAGGAGUUGGAGUUGCUGUUUGCUGGGCUCUCUCUUGGGUGAUCAGAAGAAGUAAUUGUGGUUUUCCUCAGUUUUUUUUUUUUUUCCAGUCAUUUAAUAGAAUAUCGAACCUCAAACGCAAGUUGAGAAGAGUGCCUUACUGCAUUGAAAGAUGAGUAAUAUAUGGUUGAAUUGGUUCGCCAACAUCAAAUUCUCACCCAUCACCGAGCUUGAGCGUCACUAUAUGAAAGUGAUGUUGUUAACCGUGAUGGUAGUUUCUGCUGGAUGUGCUCAAACUGGUAUCUGAAAGUUUGCACUGUUUUUGUAUUGCAGUUAUGUUUUGAAUGAUGUUGCUAUACUUGUGGUGUUGUUGCCCAACCCAACUCACUAUGGAUUCCAUUUUAUUUUCUGGAAAGUAAUUGUUUUUUGGUGUAUAUAUAUGGAAAUGGUAUAACAAUGGUUAAUGUGAAUUAAACCAUUACUACAUUUGUUUUUAACCCUA